UAGGGAAUAUUGGACAAUGGAGGCAACUCUGAUCCAGCCAUCCCGCGUGAAGGAUUAAGGUCCUAUGGAUUGUAAACUUCUUUUCUCUGGGAAUAAAAAUCACGCUUCUGCGUGACCUGAAGGUACCAGAGGAAUAAGCACCGGCUAACUCCGUGCCAGCAGCCGCGGUAAUACGGAGGGUGCAAGCGUUAUCCGGAUUCACUGGGUUUAAAGGGUGCGUAGGUGGCUUUGUAAGUCAGUGGUGAAAGCCCGGGGCUCAACUCCGGAACUGCCAUUGAUACUGCUUAGCUUGAAUCAGGUCGAGGUGGAUGGAAUGUGACAUGUAGCGGUGAAAUGCUUAGAUAUGUUACAGAACACCGAUUGCGAAGGCAGUUCACUAGACCUGUAUUGACACUGAGGCACGAAAGCGUGGGGAUCAAACAGG
rnacentral:rRNA from 1 species